UACGAAGGGGGCUAGCGUUGCUCGGAAUCACUGGGCGUAAAGGGUGCGUAGGCGGGUCUUUAAGUCAGGGGUGAGAUCCUGGAGCUCAACUCCAGAACUGCCUUUGAUACUGAGGAUCUUGAGUACGGGAGAGGUGAGUGGAACUGCGAGUGUAGAGGUGAAAUUCGUAGAUAUUCGCAAGAACACCAGUGGCGAAGGCGGCUCACUGGCCCGUUACUGACGCUGAGGCACGAAAGCGUGGGGGGCAAACAGG
rnacentral:rRNA from 1 species